ACUCUUUUAGUAUAAAUAGUAUAUUUAACUUCCAAUUAAAAGGUUUAAUUAUAAAAAGAGUA
rnacentral:tRNA from 1 species